rnacentral:lncRNA from 10 species
AAAAUGUCAAAAUAUAAUUUCAUAAAUCACACAGUUUGUAUUUCCAUACAAAAAUAUUAAACUGAUGGAACUACACAUAUUGAAGUUUUGAAUUAAAUAAUUUUCCUCAAGUUGCCACACAACUUUUGUUUACUAUUAUGUUUUCUGUAGAGACACGCUCUCAGUAUGUUGCUCAGAUUGGUCUUGGAUUCCUGGCCUCAAGCAAUCCUCCUGCCUCAGCCUCCCAAAGUGCUGGAAUGACAGGCAUGAGAA